AUUGAACGCUGGCGGUAUGCUUAACACAUGCAAGUCGAACGGUAACAGGUCUAGCUUGCUAGAUGCUGACGAGUGGCGGACGGGUGAGUAACGCGUAGGAACCUGUCUACGAGAGUGGGACAACUCGGGGAAACUCGAGCUAAUACCGCAUACGUUCUGAGGAAGAAAGGCUGGAGUAAUCCAGUCGCUCAUAGGGGGGCCGUGCGUUGGAUUAGCUAGUUGGUGGGGUAAAGGACCUACCAAGGCGACGAUCCAUAGCUGUUCUGAGAGGAAGAUCAGCCACACUGGGACGUGAGACACGGCCCAGACUCCUACGGGA
rnacentral:rRNA from 1 species